UACGUAGGGUGCAAGCGUUAAUCGGAAUUACUGGGCGUAAAGCGUGCGCAGGCGGUUCGGAAAGAAAGAUGUGAAAUCCCAGGGCUUAACCUUGGAACUGCAUUUUUAACUACCGGGCUAGAGUGUGUCAGAGGGAGGUGGAAUUCCGCGUGUAGCAGUGAAAUGCGUAGAGAUGUGGAGGAAUACCGAUGGCGAAGGCAGCCCCCUGGGAUAACACUGACGCUCAUGCACGAAAGCGUGGGGAGCAAACA
rnacentral:rRNA from 1 species